UAACGCGUGAGUAACCUGCCUUUCAGAGGGGGAUAACGUUCUGAAAAGAACGCUAAUACCGCAUAAGAUUGUAGCUUCGCAUGGAGCAGCAAUCAAAGGAGCAAUCCGCUGAAAGAUGGACUCGCGUCCGAUUAGAUAGUUGGCGGGGUAACGGCCCACCAAGUCGACGAUCGGUAGCCGGACUGAGAGGUUGAUCGGCCACAUUGGGACUGAGACACGGCCCAGACUCCUACGGGAGGCAGCAGUGAGGGAUAUUGGGCAAUGGGGGAAACCCUGACCCAGCAACGCCGCGUGAGGGAUGACGGUUUUCGGAUUGUAAACCUCCGUCCUCUGUGAAGAUAGUGACGGUAGCAGAGGAGGAAGCUCCGGCUAACUACGUGCCAGCAGCCGCGGUAAUACGUAGGGAGCAAGCGUUGUCCGGAUUUACUGGGUGUAAAGGGUGCGUAGGCGGAUUGGCAAGUCAGAAGUGAAAUCCAUGGGCUUAACCCAUGAACUGCUUUUGAAACUGUUAGUCUUGAGUGAAGUAGAGGUAGGCGGAAUUCCCGGUGUAGCGGUGAAAUGCGUAGAGAUCGGGAGGAACACCAGUGGCGAAGGCGGCCUACUGGGCUUUAACUGACGCUGAGGCACGAAAGUGUGGGUAGCAAACAGGAUUAGAUACCCUGGUAGUCCACACUGUAAACGAUGAUUACUAGGUGU
rnacentral:rRNA from 1 species